rnacentral:rRNA from 1 species
CCUACGGGUGGCUGCAGUGGGGAAUAUUGCGCAAUGGAGGGAACUCUGACGCAGCAACGCCGCGUGAAGGAUGAAGGUUUUCGGAUUGUAAACUUCUUUGAUCGGGGACGAAAUUGACGGUACCCGAGGAACAAGCCACGGCUAACUACGUGCCAGCAGCCGCGGUAAUACGUAGGUGGCAAGCGUUGUCCGGAAUUACUGGGUGUAAAGGGCGUGUAGGCGGGAAGGCAAGUCAGAUGUGAAAGCCCAUGGCUUAACUGUGGAAUUGCAUCUGAAACUGUUUUUCUUGAGUGCUGGAGAGGAAAGUGGAAUUCCUAGUGUAGCGGUGAAAUGCGUAGAGAUUAGGAGGAACACCAGUGGCGAAGGCGGCUUUCUGGACAGUAACUGACGCUGAGGCGCGAAAGCGUGGGGAGCAAACAGGAUUAGAUACCCCAGUAGUC